rnacentral:rRNA from 1 species
UACGUAGGGGGCAAGCGUUAUCCGGAUUUACUGGGUGUAAAGGGAGCGUAGACGGCUUUGCAAGCCAGAUGUGAAAGCCCGGGGCUCAACCCCGGGACUGCAUUUGGAACUGUGUGGCUAGAGUGUCGGAGAGGCAGGCGAAAUUCCUAGUGUAGCGGUGAAAUACGUAGAUAUUAGGAGGAACACCAGUGGCGAAGGCGGCCUGCUGGACGAUGACUGACGUUGAGGCUCGAAAGCGUGGGGAGCAAACAGG